GUUGCUCCUUUUCCAUUCUCGUAACAAUUUUACAAAUCCAAACAAUCAUGCAUUAAGUUGUUAUACAUUAUUAUGUAUAAGAAAAGGUAGAAUUAGCUAUGCAUGACAUAUUCAGCUCUAGAAGAACAUCAACAACCCAUUCUCAUUCAUUCAGGCAACGAUUUAAGGCUAACAAUGGCGGAAGAUGACACGUGACUAGAAAAAGGGAGAAGAUGGUACGGAAAAUCAAGAGCAAGCAAAUAUGGGACCAUAGAGAAGUGGAUGUGGUACAAGUAUAGGGGAAUCACGUUUGAAGAUUUCAAACUCUGAAUGAAUAAGAGGUAACCUCAAGUUUGAAUGGUUAAGAGGUAACCUCUGAAUGGUAAAUCAUCACAUGUCACAUUCUUCUACCUUCUCAUUGGUAAAAUUCUUAAUGGUUCCAUUAAGAGAUAGCCUCUUAAUGACCAUUCAGAGGCUACCAAACAGCCUCUCAUAAAGUUGCAUAUGACCAGUGUUGAACUAUUUGUAAUUAAUGAACUAUAAAGCUAUGAUAAUUUGUAAGUGUUGUGUAUACAUUGUAUAGAACCAACAUUUCAGUUG